AGUGAACGCUGGCGGUAGGCCUAACACAUGCAAGUCGAACGGCAGCACAGUAAGAGCUUGCUCUUACGGGUGGCGAGUGGCGGACGGGUGAGGAAUACAUCGGAAUCUACUUUUUCGUGGGGGAUAACGUAGGGAAACUUACGCUAAUACCGCAUACGACCUACGGGUGAAAGCAGGGGAUCUUCGGACCUUGCGCGAUUGAAUGAGCCGAUGUCGGAUUAGCUAGUUGGCGGGGUAAAGGCCCACCAAGGCGACGAUCCGUAGCUGGUCUGAGAGGAUGAUCAGCCACACUGGAACAGAGACACGGUCCAGACUCCUACGGGAGGCAGCAGUGGGGAAUAUUGGACGAUGGGCGCAAGCCUGAUCCAGCUAUACCGCGUGGGUGAAGAAGGCCUUCGGGUUGUAAAGCCCUUUUGUUGGGAAAGAAAAGCAGCAGGUUAAUACCCCGCUGUUCUGACGGUACCCAAAGAAUAAGCACCGGCUAACUUCGUG
rnacentral:rRNA from 1 species